rnacentral:rRNA from 1 species
UACGUAGGUGGCAAGCGUUAUCCGGAAUUACUGGGCGUAAAGCGCACGCAGGCGGUCUUUUAAGUUUGACGGGAAAGCUCCCGGCUUAACUGGGAGAGGUCGUUGAAGACUGGAAGACUUGAGGCAAUGAGAGGGGUGUAGAAUUCCCGGUGUAGUGGUGGAAUGCGUAGAUAUCGGGGGGAAUACCAGUGGCGAAAGCGGCACCCUAGCGUUAGCCUGACGCUCAUGUGCGAAAGCGUGGGGAGCGAACGGG